UGAUCUGCCCUGCACUUUGGGAUAAGCCUGGGAAACUGGGUCUAAUACCGAAUACACCCUUCUGGCUGCAUGGUCUGGUUGGGGAAAGCUUUUGCGGUGUGGGAUGGGCCCGCGGCCUAUCAGCUUGUUGGUGAG
rnacentral:rRNA from 1 species